GCACGUAAUGGUGGGAACUCUAAGGAGACUGCCGGUGAUAAACCGGAGGAAGGUGGGGAUGACGUCAAGUCAUCAUGGCCCUUAUGGGUAGGGCUACACACGUGCUACAAUGGCCAGUACAGAGGGCAGCGAACUCGCGAGAGUAAGCAAAUCCCACAAAGCUGGUCGUAGUCCGGAUUGGAGUCUGCAACUCGACUCCAUGAAGUUGGAAUCGCUAGUAAUCGUGAAUCAGAAUGUCACGGUGAAUACGUUCCCGGGCCUUGUACACACCGCCCGUCACACCAUGGGAGUGGGCUGCAAAAGAAGUGGGUAGUUUAACCUUCGGGAGAACGCUCACCACUUUGUGGUUCAUGACUGGGGUG
rnacentral:rRNA from 1 species